rnacentral:ncRNA from 2 species
AGACGUCGUGCGGGAGAGUCCUCACCAGCGGAUGAGGCGCCGAAGGAGCAAUACUCCCCGCCAAACUCUCAGGCCCAGUCACCGCACGGCACCA